rnacentral:lncRNA from 1 species
GCAUUUCCAGUGUUGUCAAAACAGUGCCUGCCUGCAUCUGUUUUCUUCAAUUGGCCUGGGUUCCAGGGAGUGUUUGUGAGAGAGGAGAGAACAAGAGAUUGACAGUCUUGUGUUGACAUUUUGUGGCUGUUUGGAAAUGAAAACAAUCCAGGUCUGAUGUUGUAAUUCCUCCUUUUAUGGGCAAAAAGCAAUGUCUCAGCAUGAAUGAGCAUAACCGAACACACUAGGACACACCCCAGACACACUGUGUACUCCCGGGACACUCACCAUGCUUUUAGUUACUGCUGUUGUAGAAUGAAAGGCAGAAAAG